rnacentral:rRNA from 1 species
CGGACGGGUGAGUAAUGUAUGGGGACCUGCCUGAUGGCGGGGGAUAACUACUGGAAACGGUAGCUAAUACCGCAUAAUGUCUGCGGACCAAAGCGGGGGACCUCCGGGCCUCGCGCCAUCAGAUGAACCCAUAUGGGAUUAGCUUGUAGGUAAGGUAACGGCUUACCUAGGCGACGAUCCCUAGCUGGUCUGAGAGGAUGAUCAGCCACACUGGGACUGAGACACGGCCCAG